rnacentral:rRNA from 1 species
AGUGAAGCGGGAAAAGCUCAAAUUUAAAAUCUGGUGGCCUCUGGUCAUCCGAGUUGUAAUUUAGAGAAGCGUCUUCCGCGCUGGACCGUGCACAAGUCUCCUGGAAUGGAGCGUCAUAGAGGGUGAGAAUCCCGUCUUUGGCACGGAUCCCGGGGCUUAUGUGAUGCGCUCUCGAAGAGUCGAGUUGUUUGGGAAUGCAGCUCAAAAUGGGUGGUGAACUCCAUCUAAAGCUAAAUAUUGGCGAGAGACCGAUAGCGAACAAGUACCGUGAGGGAAAGAUGAAAAGCACUUUGGAAAGAGAGUGAAACAGUACGUGAAAUUGUUGAAAGGGAAACGCUUGAAGUCAGUCGCGUCGUCCGAGACUCAGCCUCGCCUCGGCUUGGUGUACUUCUCGACCGACGGGUCAGCAUCAAUUUUGCCCCUUGGAUAAUGGCGAGGGAAAUGUGGCACCUUUGCGGGUGCGUUAUAGUCCCUCGUCGCAUGCAAGGGUCGGGAUUGAGGAACUCAGCACGCGCCUUUUGGUGUCGGGGCUUUGCCCACGAUACGUGCUUAGGAUGUUGGCGUAAUGGCUUUAAACGACCCGUCUUGAAACACGGACCAAGGAGUCUAACAUGCCCGCGAGUGUUCGGGUGGAAAACCCGUGCGCGCAAUGAAAGUGAAAGUUGGGACCUCUGUCGUGGAGGGCACCGACGCCCGGACCAGACCUUCUGUGACGGAUCUGCGGUGGAGCGUGUAUGUUAGGACCCGAAAGAUGGUGAACUAUGCCUGAAUAGGGUGAAGCCAGAGGAAACUCUGGUGGAGGCUCGUAGCGAUUCUGACGUGNCAAUCGAUCGUCAAAUUUGGGUAUAGGGGCGAAAGACUAAUCGAACCAUCUAGUAGCUGGUUCCUG